rnacentral:rRNA from 1 species
AAUUGCCAUCAUUCAUUGGGCACUUUAAAGAGACUGCCGGUGUUAAACCGGAGGAAGGUGGGGAUGACGUCAAGUCCUCAUGGCCUUUAUGCUUAGGGCUACACACGUGCUACAAUGGUGGUACAAAGAGCAGCCAACUCGCGAGAGCGCGCUAAUCUCAAAAAGCCAUCCUCAGUUCGGAUUGGAGUCUGCAACUCGACUCCAUGAAGUUGGAAUCGCUAGUAAUCGCGGAUCAGCAUGCCGCGGUGAAUACGUUCCCGGGCCUU